rnacentral:rRNA from 1 species
CCAAACUGUUGCCUCGGCGGGAUCUCUGCCCCGGGUGCGUCGCAGCCCCGGACCAAGGCGCCCGCCGGAGGACCAACCAAAACUCUUUUUGUAUACCCCCUCGCGGGUUUUUUUUUAUAAUCUGAGCCUUCUCGGCGCCUCUCGUAGGCGUUUCGAAAAUGAAUCAAAACUUUCAACAACGGAUCUCUUGGUUCUGGCAUCGAUGAAGAACGCAGCGAAAUGCGAUAAGUAAUGUGAAUUGCAGAAUUCAGUGAAUCAUCGAAUCUUUGAACGCACAUUGCGCCCGCCAGUAUUCUGGCGGGCAUGCCUGUCCGAGCGUCAUUUCAACCCUCGAACCCCUCCGGGGGGUCGGCGUUGGGGAUCGGCCCUGCCUUUUGGCGGUGGCCGUCUCCGAAAUACAGUGGCGGUCUCGCCGCAGCCUCUCCUGCGCAGUAGUUUGCACACUCGCAUCGGGAGCGCGGCGCGUCCACAGCCGUUAAACACCCAACUUCUGAAAUGUUGACCUCGGAUCAGGUAGGAAUACCCGCUGAACUUAAGCAUAUCAAUAAGCGGAGGAA